ACCUGGGUGGUUCAGUUGGUUGAGCAUCUGACUUCAGCUCAGGUCACGAUCUCACAGUUCGUGGGUUUGAGCCCCGUAUCAGGCU
rnacentral:tRNA from 1 species